rnacentral:rRNA from 1 species
GAUGAACGCUGGCGGCGUGCCUAAUACAUGCAAGUCGAGCGAAUGGAUUAAGAGCUUGCUCUUAUGAAGUUAGCGGCGGACGGGUGAGUAACACGUGGGUAACCUGCCCAUAAGACUGGGAUAACUCCGGGAAACCGGGGCUAAUACCGGAUAACAUUUUGAACCGCAUGGUUCGAAAUUGAAAGGCGGCUUCGGCUGUCACUUAUGGAUGGACCCGCGUCGCAUUAGCUAGUUGGUGAGGUAACGGCUCACCAAGGCAACGAUGCGUAGCCGACCGGAGAGAGUGAUCGGCCACACUGGGAAUGAGACACGGCCCAGACUCCUACGGGAGGCAGCAGUAGGGAAUCUUCCGCAAUGGACGAAAGUCUGACGGAGCAACGCCGCGUGAGUGAUGAAGGCUUUCGGGUCGUAAAACUCUGUUGUUAGGGAAGAACAAGUGCUAGUUGAAUAAGCUGGCACCUUGACGGUACCUAACCAGAAAGCCACGGCUAACUACGUGCCAGCCGCCGCGGUAA